rnacentral:rRNA from 1 species
CUGAUCUCCCAGUACAAAAGCUGAGAUAUACACAUAAGACGAGAAGACCCUGUGGAGCUUUAAGCAUUAGUACUACACUUAUACCACCAAGUCCAAAGGACCACAAACUAUACUAUAGUAUACGCUUUCAGUUGGGGCGACUGCGGAGAAAAACCAAACCUCCACGAAAACACCACUACCACAAAACCAACACGUUGACCGGUAAGACUUUGACCCAGCACCGCUGAUUACCGAACCAAGUUACCCCAGGGAUAACAGCGCCAUCCCCUUCAAGAGUCCAUAUCGCCAGGGGGGUUUACGACCUCGAUGUUGGAUCAGGACACCUAGAUGGUGUAGCCGCUAUCAAAAGUUCGUUUGUUCAACGAUUAAAGUCCUACGUGAU